ACUGCUCAGUAACACGUGGACAACCUACCCUGAGGUCGGGGAUAAACCCGGGAAACUGGGUAUAAUACCCGAUAGAUCUAGAUCGCUGGAAUGCUUUUAGGUCUAAAGUUCCGACGCCUCAGGAUGGGUCUGCGGCCUAUCAGGGUAGUAGUGGGUGUAAAGUACCUACUAGCCUACGACGGGUACGGGUUGUGAGAGCAAGAGCCCGGAGAUGGAUUCUGAGACACGAAUCCAGGCCCUACGGGGUGCAGCAGGCGCGAAACCUUUACAAUGCUGGCAACAGCGAUAAGGGGACCUCGAGUGCUACGAUACAAUCGUGGCUGUCUAGUUGCCUAAAAAGCAAUUGAUAGCAAGGGCCGGGCAAGACCGGUGCCAGCCGCCGCGGUAACACCGGCGGCUCGAGUGGUAACCGCUAUUAUUGGGUCUAAAGGGUCUGUAGCCGGCUUAGUUAGUCUCUUGAGAAAUCUGGCCGCUCAACGGUCAGGCGUUCAGGGGAUACUGCUAAAGCUCGAGACCGGGAGAGGUGAGAGGUACUUCAGGGGUAGGGGUGAAAUCUUGUAAUCCUUGAAGGACCACCGGUGGCGAAGGCGUCUCACCAGAACGGAUCUGACGGCAAGGGACGAAAGCUAGGGGCACGAACCGGAUUAGAUACCCGGGUAGUCCUAGCCGUAAACGAUACUCGCUAGGUGUCGGCCACGGUGCGACCGUGGUCGGUGCCGUAGGGAAGCCGUGAAGCGAGCCACCUGGGAAGUACGGCCGCAAGGCUGAAACUUAAAGGAAUUGGCGGGGGAGCAC
rnacentral:rRNA from 1 species